rnacentral:tRNA from 1 species
AUCUUCUUAGUAUAAUUAAUACUAAUGACUUCCAAUCAUUUAACCCAAGUUAAACCCAUGGAGAAGAUA